GGCAUUCUAGGCCAAAGUUGGUAUCGCAUUGGCCUAGAAUGCCGAAGACGCUGGUUCGAAUCCAGCCGGUGCCC
rnacentral:tRNA from 1 species